rnacentral:lncRNA from 1 species
GUGAGCGAAGUAAACCACCCCGAAUAUUUCCUAUGCUAUUCGAGAAGCUGUCGUGUUUUUGUGCAAAUCAAGAUAUGAUUGGCCAUGUUAUAGAAAAAUGUGGGGAUGGGGUUCGUGAUCCAAAGAAGUUUUGGUUUGGCAGUUUUAUGAUGGUUCCAACCUAUAUGUGGUUCUAGCCUAGAAAUGAGUGAAUUGCUCAACCUUAUGGUAGCACUACUUCUGGAAGAGGUGACUGGGCUAGUAGGGCCUAGGUGGUCGUGGAGGGAAAAGUGGGCAUGACCCGACCCGAUGUAUGGGAAAAAUGGUUUUGACCCUGUGAAUGAAAAUGCAGGUACAUGCAAUGUCAAUGCAAACAAUGCUAGUUAAGGGCAUUCUGGUAUGUAGCAAACCUAGCGUCGGUCAAGGACCCUCCCUAGGCGCUAGGGUGAAAGGAAGUACAUAUCUUAUAGAAUACCAUUAUGUCAAAUAUGGGUUGAGCAACACAGCUGAGGGUUGCUCUUUGCAAGUUGAAGUGAAGAAAAGACAGAGGAUAAGGGGUGUGUGCCGCUUAUGCAAGCAUUUUCAUCGCUUCCCCAUAUCUCAUGUGCACUCUUCGUUCCUUGUCGAUUUGGCUUGGCAUCCUUCCACUGUUUGCGUGUUUUGUGCCACAGACUUGAUGAUGCACUCCACGUUCCCUUGUUGGGCGUCCGUGGCCUUGGCGACAGGUAGCGGCGUGCUCUUGGGCGCUUUGCUUCCUUGCAUAAGACGGAAACGGGGCCGACUGCCCGUGCUCUUGCUCCACCAGUGGUGGUGCUUGAGCUUGUGGCCAUGGUGGCAACCUGCAUGGGAGCAUGGGAUGUAGGAACAAAGCAGCACACAAUGCCUAGCCAAGCUGCCAGGCAAUCGAGAGUAUAGCAGAGGUGUGAGGGGAGGGGUGAAAACGUUGUCGGGAGCGGACCGCCGUCGCCGUCAGCCUUUGGACCCAAAGUCGAGCAGUGAGGUGAUUGUGAUUGGGGAAGCGAGGAAGAGGGCACUAUGAGCAGAAAGGAAUGAUUAACCACCGUGAUGGCGGACGGUUGUGGGUAGACCAGGUGUCUACACGUGGAUUUGCUAGAUGGGAUAUGACAUGACAUGGUUGUUGUGUCGUGAGGUGCCAUGGGAUAAGACAUGACACGGGAUAUAACUGACGUGUGGGUGUGUUUGGUUGUCGCCGGCAGGGCACUCUGCUAUGUGUGCUGCCACAUAGUCUGAGCUCCCUUGUGUGGCUUAGUGGUUGCAAACUUCUUACAAUGGAUAAGGCCUCACUACAAGGACAUAAAAUAUAUCCAUUUGUGUCGAGAGAAAUCAUCUUUAAAGAUAAUAUAGUAACGAUGGCUCCUUUCGAGGGAAGGGAGCCGGACCACAAACAUUAGAGUGAGCAAGAUCAAAAGGACGCUGAGAUAGUCUUGCUAUGAGCAUAGGGUAACUGGUGGAUGUGGAGCUUGGGCUAAAUGGCGUUCGGUACGGAAGUUUGUUCUAGUGCGAGUCAAUAUCAAACUAAAAAAAGACCUUUGAGGUUUUCAGGGACUGGUGAGCGAAGUAAACCACCCCGAAUGUUUCCUAUGCUAUUCGAGAAGCUGUCGUGUUUUUGUGCAAAUCAAGAUAUGAUUGGCCAUGUUAUAGAACAAUGUGGGGAUGGGGUUCGUGAUCCAAAGAAGUUUCGGUUUGGCAGUUUUAUGAUGGUUCCAACCUAUAUGUGGGUCUAGCCUAGAAUUGAGUUAAUUGCUCAACCUCGUGGUAGCACUACUUGUGGAAGAGGUGACUGGGCUAGUAGGGCCUAGGUGGUCGUGGAGGGAAAAGUGGGCAUGACCCGACCCGAUGUAUGAGAAAAAUGAUUAUGAACCUAUGAAUGAAAAUGCAGGUACAUGCAAUGUCAAUGCAAAUAAUGCUAGUUAAGGGGAUUCUGGUACGUAGCCAACCCAGCGUCGGUCAAGGAC